GGCGACCAUACAAACAGCAACUGGAAUAUAUGAUAGGCCUGUAGCGAAACUUGCGAUCUUGGACAUCGGCGUUAUAGGUGACGGUACACAAGUGUACACUCCGGGGGGGACUGUUGCGACCGCCGAUUCGAACAUCGAACCCAUCGCUCCCCUAUCAUCAAACCAUCAUCGACCAAAAACGUCAAACAUGCUUUCACAGCAGGAACACUAACAACAUGUCAAAAGAUUAGGAAAAGAGAAUAGGUGAAAAUUUGAUUUGUCAUUCAAGCUACGGUUAAAACGAUUCCACGUUUAGUUCCGAAGUUAAAUCACGUUAACAUUCAGAGAUUUGGCGAUUAUAAAGUUUAAUCUAGUGAAUCUCUGGAUCUGCGUAAAAUACGACCUUUAUCGAUAGUGCCUUUCGCAAUUAAAAGCUAAGCACAUUGAACUGCCUACAUCCGUUUUACCCUCAUACGUUAGCUUUCGUUACAAUCGCUUUCAAGCAAAGCUGCUAGCGACCACUAAAGAAGCGCAUAUCGAAGUACCGCCGCGGUCACUACACCUUCGUACAACUUAUUAUUACAAGUGCCUUCUAGUUGUGUGACAGUUAAAUACUGAACGUAAGCGUAACUAAGUUAAUCUUAUUACACAUAUUCUAACGUCAGUUUACUUUUAGAAAUUUUGUAUUCAUCACACCUGGAAUAAAUUAACAGAAUUAAACUGGUUUUACU